GAAAGUGCCGGCAUUCCUCUUGACGGUCACCUACUGGAACCGGUCCAGCGGGUUCCAAGAUACGAACUCCUACUCAAAGAAUAUUUAAAGAACAUACCCGAUGAUAGCGAUGACAGAAAAGCUGCAGAAGAUGCCUUGAAGCUGGUGGUGGAGGCAGCCAGUCAUUCGAACCAAUUUCUAAAACAGAUGGUAAA